AACGAACGCUGGCGGCAUGCCUAACACAUGCAAGUCGAACGAAGGCUUCGGCCUUAGUGGCGCACGGGUGCGUAACGCGUGGGAACCUGCCCCUCGGUUCGGAAUAACAGUUAGAAAUGACUGCUAAUACCGGAUGAUGACUUCGGUCCAAAGAUUUAUCGCCGAGGGAUGGGCCCGCGUAGGAUUAGCUUGCUGGUGGGGUAAUGGCCUACCAAGGCGACGAUCCUUAGCUGGUCUGAGAGGAUGAUCAGCCACACUGGGACUGAGACACGGCCCAGACUCCUACGGGAGGCAGCAGUGGGGAAUAUUGGACAAUGGGCGAAAGCCUGAUCCAGCAAUGCCGCGUGAGUGAUGAAGGCCUUAGGGUUGUAAAGCUCUUUUACCAGGGAUGAUAAUGACAGUACCUGGAGAAUAAGCUCCGGCUAACUCCGUGCCAGCAGCCGCCGUAAAAC
rnacentral:rRNA from 1 species